UAGGGAAUCUUCCACAAUGGACGCAAGUCUGAUGGAGCAACGCCGCGUGAGUGAAGAAGGUCUUCGGAUCGUAAAGCUCUGUUGUUGGUGAAGAAGGAUAGAGGCAGUAACUGGUCUUUAUUUGACGGUAAUCAACCAGAAAGUCACGGCUAACCACGUGCCAGCAGCCGCGGUAAUACGUAGGUGGCAAGCGUUGUCCGGAUUUAUUGGGCGUAA
rnacentral:rRNA from 1 species